AAAAACCUGGUGAAGCACACGACUCACACUCAGCUCCUGAAUAUUUUAGUAUUUAGAUUACCUGCAGCAGCAUUGCUGAAGAUUUGUCGGAGCACCUCAGACAGGAGUGUAACGUAAAAACCAAGCAGACCCCUUGCUGAAGACCCUUUCAUACAGAGGAUCCUUUGGUGAUGUAAUGCUAAAUUUCUCCUGAUGAAGAAUAAAC